rnacentral:snoRNA from 1 species
AGCAAAAUGAUGAGACUUGUUAAUCCGAAGUUAAUGUAGAUAACACUACAAUGGUCUUCAAAGUUCUCUGAUUGCU